GUUUCCACUGUCAUUUUAAAAUAAGCAUUCAGAUAAAAGCUAAGAGUUUGCAUGAAGCAGAAAGAAAACUAGGCUAAAGUCUGAGAUCAGAUCAAAAUAUGCCCCACAUUUUGCUGCUGGUGAUAAAGACAUCAUCUAAGUGUCACUCUAAGUGUGUCCAUUUAAAUUAUAUUUAGCUACUAUAUUCAAGAACUACACUAGGCCUAGAGGAUACAAGAAAAAAAUCAGAGUCCCUGACUUCAAGUACCUUCUAGUCUACUGGGGGAUGCAACAUGUCCAUGAGAAAAGCAGAGGUGUGACUGGAGAGGAAAAAAGUCUGAUAACAUUAAUGAAAGGCAAGGAUGACUGAUGGAUAAGCUUAUGUUCCACUGGUAUCUGUCCAUGCAAUGUCAAGAAAACUCAAGCAAGAUCCCUCAGCACAUUGAGUGGACCUCCUGUGGAUGAGUACUAAGAGGGCACGGUCCACCUGGAUGAGAAUACUCAUGAGAUCACAGAUACCCUGACGCAUCUUGUCUUUAACAGACAGGUAUAGAGUGUGCCUACAUCUGAAGUACCUGAGCACAGUUUAAAAAGUGGAGGUUUCCCAAAGACAAGGUCCAUGAUUGAUUCUCUCUCAAUUUCUAUUGGAUCAUAAUCUUAAGAGAGACUGUGCCUUCUUUUUUUACACCCCUACCACCUAGCCACAAUGUCUUAUACUUAUUAGAUGCUUAGUACUUCAAUGUAAUUGGAUAAAUUUAAGAAGCACUAAAGGGGUUGCAAGUGGAAAAAGUUUCAGAAGCCCUGUUUUAUGGUACUUACCUAUGGCUCUACCUAUGGCUCUAUUCCUUACCUUUCAGUCUGCUUAUGCCAGAAGGCAUGGGCAAGUACUCUUUGUUCAAGGGAAGAUUAGCUGAUGCUAAAGACUUAUUAGCACUUAACUGACACUUACUCUCAGUUGUAAUUUUUAAAAAUGAAAAGGUACCUUUGGAAAGUGAGCUGUAUUAGAAUCAGAGGAGCUGGUUUUGAAUCCAAACAAUGUCACCUUGUGUGACCUUGGACAGGUCACUUUUCUCAUUUGGGCCUAUUUUCUUAUCAUUUGGCUAACUCCAGUAUCAUGUACUCUUAUUUUCACUAACUUUCAAAGACAUGUCACUAACAAUGACUUGGCAAAUACAUCUUACAAUACCAAAGGACAGCUAUCUACAACUCUGAAUGCUAUUCUGACUCUCUUAUAUGAAGCUUUAAAAAAAAAAUCUAAAUUGGGCAAUAAAUUCUCUACACAUCUACAAUGA